rnacentral:rRNA from 1 species
UGGGGAAUUGUUCGCAAUGGGCGCAAGCCUGACGACGCAACGCCGCGUGGAGGAUGAAGAUCUUCGGGUCGUAAACUCCUGUCGAGCGGGAAGAACGUUUCGCGGAUGAAUAAGCCGCGGAAGUGACGGUACCGCUAAAGGAAGCCCCGGCUAACUCCGUGCCAGCAGCCGCGGUAAUACGGGGGGGGCAAGCGUUGUUCGGAAUUACUGGGCGUAAAGGGCUCGUAGGUGGCCAACUAAGUCAGACGUGAAAUCCCCAGGCUUAACCUGGGAACUGCGUCUGAUACUGGAUGGCUUGAAUUCGGGAGAGGGAUGCAGAAUUCCAGGUGUAGCGGUGAAAUGCGUAGAUAUCUGGAGGAAUACCGGUGGCGAAGGCGGCAUCCUGGACCGAGAUUGACACUGAGGAGCGAAAGCCAGGGGAGCAAACGGGAUUAGAUACCCCGGUAGUCCUGGCCCUAAACGAUGAAUGCUUGGUGUGACGGGUAUCGAUCCCUGUCGUGCCGAAGCUAACG